GCCUCCGUGGCUCAGUUGGUGAGAGCGGCUGGACCGGCAAUCAAGUUGGUUACAGGUUCAAGUCCUGUCGGAGGUG